GAUGAACGCUGGCGGCGUGCCUAAUACAUGCCAGUCGAGCGAACGGACGAGAAGCUUGCUUCUCUGAUGUUAGCGGCGGACGGGUGAGUAACACGUGGAUAACCUACCUAUAAGACUGGGAUAACUUCGGGAAACCGGAGCUAAUACCGGAUAAUAUUUUGAACCGCAUGGUUCAAAAGUGAAAGACGGUCUUGCUGUCACUUAUAGAUGGAUCCGCGCUGCAUUAGCUAGUUGGUAAGGUAACGGCUUACCAAGGCAACGAUGCAUAGCCGACCUGAGAGGGUGAUCGGCCACACUGGAACUGAGACACGGUCCAGACUCCUACGGGAGGCAGCAGUAGGGAAUCUUCCGCAAUGGGCGAAAGCCUGACGGAGCAACGCCGCGUGAGUGAUGAAGGUCUUCGGAUCGUAAAACUCUGUUAUUAGGGAAGAACAUAUGUGUAAGUAACUGUGCACAUCUUUACGGUACCUAAUCAGAAAGCCACGGCUAACUACGUG
rnacentral:rRNA from 1 species